AGAGUUUGAUUCUGGCUCAGAACGAACGCUGGCGGCGUGGAUAAGACAUGCAAGUCGAACGCUGGUUGAAUAAUAGCAAUAUUGGGCAGCUGGAGUGGCGCAAGGGUGUGUAACACGUAGGUAAUUUACCUUGAGGUUUGGAAUAACCCGAAGAAAUUUGGGCUAAUGCCAAAUGUGACAAUGGUUUGGCAUCAAAUUUUUGUCAAAGCUGGGGAUCGCAAGACCUGGCGCUUCAAGAUAAGCCUGCGGCCUAUCAGCUAGUUGGUGGGGUAAAGGCUCACCAAGGCUAAGACGGGUAGCUGGUCUGAGAGGACGACCAGCCACACUGGAACUGAGACACGGUCCAGACACCUACGGGUGGCAGCAGUCGAGAAUUUUUCUCAAUGGGCGAAAGCCUGAAGGAGCGACGCCGCGUGGGGGAUGAAGGGCUUCGGCUCGUAAACCCCUGUCAUUUGUGAACAAGUGGUAGCAUUUAAAAGAUGCUAUUUUGAUAGUAGCAGAAGAGGAAGGGACGGCUAACUCUGUGCCAGCAGCCGCGGUAAUACAGAGGUCCCAAGCGUUGUUCGGAUUCACUGGGCGUAAAGGGUGCGUAGGCGGUUGGGCAAGUUUGUUGUGAAAUCUCCGGGCUUAACCCGGAAAAUGCAAUGAAAACUGCCUGACUUGAGGAUUAUAGGGGAGACUGGAAUUCUCGGUGUAGCAGUGAAAUGCGUAGAUAUCGAGAGGAACACCAGUGGCGAAGGCGAGUCUCUGGACAAAUCCUGACGCUGAUGCACGAAAGCUGGGGGAGCAAACAGGAUUAGAUACCCUGGUAGUCCCAGCUGUAAACGGUGCGCAUUUGCUGUAAGUGGAAUCGACCCCACUUGUGGCGUAGCUAACGCGUUAAAUGCGCCGCCUGGGAAGUACGGUCGCAAGAUUAAAACUCAAAGAAAUUGACGGGGGCCUGCACAAGCGGUGGAGUAUGUGGCUUAAUUCGAUGCAACGCGAAGAACCUUACCUAGCCUUGACAUGCAAGUAGUAGAAGCCUGAAAGGGUGACGAGAUAGCAAUAUCAGCUUGCACAGGUGCUGCAUGGCUGUCGUCAGCUCGUGUCGUGAGAUGUUGGGUUAAGUCCCGCAACGAGCGCAACCCCUGUGUCCUGUUGCCACUCCUUAAUUGGAAGCACUCUGGACAGACUGCCUCGCUUAAACGAGGAGGAAGGUGGGGAUGACGUCAA
rnacentral:rRNA from 1 species